CCUACGGGGGGCUGCAGUGGGGAAUAUUGCACAAUGGGGGAAACCCUGAUGCAGCGACGCCGCGUGAGUGAAGAAGAAAUUCGUUAUGUAAAGCUCUAUCAGCAGGGAAGAAAAUGACGGUACCUGAGUAAGAAGCCCCGGCGAACUACGUGCCAGCAGCCGCGGUAAUACGUAGGGGGCAAGCGUUAGCCGGAUUUACUGGGUGUACAGGGAGCGUAGACGGCAGUGCAAGUCUGGAGUGAAAGGCGGGGGCUCCACCCCCGGACUGCUCGGGAAACGGUACGGCUGGAGUGCAGGAGAGGUCAGUGGCUUUCCUCCUGUAGCGGUGACAUGCGUCGAUAUUAGGCG
rnacentral:rRNA from 1 species